CUUCUGUGCCUCCCAGCAACGGGAACACCACAAGGACACAACAAUGUUCCCAUGACAUCACAGCAGCAGCUCACCCAAAAACUACCUGGAAGGUUCUCCUGUGACACCAAGGAGCACAAAGAAUCCUCAGAGGGCACAACCUAUUGCUCAAAAGCUCCAAGAGGAACUCUGAAAAUACAGCAAACAAGGACACCCCACAACCCAGCCUGAACACUGAGAAGGAAAAAAGAUGUGACCAAACCAAAGGAAACAUGACUGUUGGUCAUUGAUGCUUCUGCCUAAAACCAGCAAGACUUGUUCCAUCUGGGAUCUUUGUUCUAGUUCUAAAAACAAGCAAGGAGCUGUUGCCUUUUCCUGUGUGCUGAACUACCUUCUAACUAUUAGAAAGUGAGUGAGUAAAGGAAAUUACCCUGGAGGAAGGAGACCAGAACCUUGGAAAAGAAUGAAAUACAUCUGGAUUACAAAUAAAAUCUAUUUCAUUUA